GACGUAGGUGGCGAACGUUAUCCGGAAUUAUUGGGCGUAAAGGGUGCGUAGGUGGCCUGACAAGUUAUCAGUGGCAAAUCGAGGCUCAACCUCGUGGAAACUGGUAAUACUGUCCGGCUUGAGUACAGGAGAGGUUAACGGAACUCUAUGUGGAGCGGUAAAAUGCAAAGAUAUAUAGAAGAACAUCAAUAACGGCGAAGGCAGUUAACUAUUCUGUUACUGACACUGAGGCACGAAAGCGUGGGGAGCAAAACGG
rnacentral:rRNA from 1 species